UUUGUAAUCUGAACGGUCUGUAAUUGUGUGAGAAUAGAAGUAGAGAAUAGUAGAAGAAAAUACACCCUAAGAAUACAAAUCGUCUCUGAUGUCAGAUAGACAAAAUACAACUACAAACGGAUAUAAAAUAAAAAUAAAAAAAUUUGUUUGUUGAAUUUCGAUAUAAAUACGAAUCGAUAAAGAUUAUGUUAUCGCCCGAUUUAGGAGAUCUACAUCUGCUCUACAUCUUAUUUGAUAUCUCUGAUAAUAUCUCAGAUAAAGAUUUAACGAUUCUUAGUAAUUCGCUCGGGUAUAAAUACGUAUAUGAUUUUCAUGGUAUCAGUAUCAAAUCUGAAAUAACAUAUUGUUUCCGCUUUUGUAUAUUGAAAAUAGCUUCUGAAAUAAUAGAUUAUGUUGUAUAGAUUACAGCAGAAUCAGUUUGUAAAAAUCAUCGACGCAGUAUUUUUGAUUGCUAACGUAAAAUUACAAAUUAUAUAUAACGAAGGAAAGUUUACUAAUUGUUAUAUAUGUAUUAAUCACUCUACAUCGUUAAAUACAGUUUUUCAUAUAGGAUAGUGACAACUAUUCUAAAAUAUUUCCAAUCUUUUUAGAACUUUUUACCUGGUUUAAACAUAUGAAAGUCACAUUGGAUCUAAAUGAUUCUAGCAUGUCAUUUAAUACUCUAAAAAAAGAGUAUGCUAUUGCAGAGUUAGCUGGAGACUCAUCUUUCUUCAAAAAAGAAAUAUAUGUCGUGUCAUUUGCAGAAGAUCGUAAACAUUCCACGAACAUUUCUUCAGCAAUGAUAUUGAAAUACGCUUUGCGGAGGUAAUUGUUUUUACGUUUUUUGCACAACGAUACUUUCGACUAGAAGCAAUCGAUUUGAAUGGUCGUUAAAUGUGGGAGCAGAGGAAACGAGUGCCGGGUACAGAUGGUACUACGUAGUACCGCGAGUACAGUGAAAGUAAAAUUAAGGAGAGAAGAACGAAACUACGAAUCAUAAAAACAUCAUUCACUUUCGAUCUGAUUUUUUCGGACUAUCUGAUCGAUAAACAGAAACCAUUCGCUAAUAAAUAUUGCGAUUGCGUCACGAUCUAAAUGAUAAAUAUACAUGAGUUUUCCAUUAAAAUUUUAAAUCGGCAUAUAAAGUAGCUUUUUAGCUCUAUUCUAAUGUGACACGGUAUACGGCAAGUAUAAAAUUAAUUAUAUUUACAGAUCUUUAAGACAAUAUGAUGCACGUUUCGAUCAUUGAAGGACACUAGGGUAGUCGACUGACUAGUCAGUCAAUGUCCACCAACUGUACGCGUAUCAGCGAAACCAGUUUUGGCUGGCAUAAUGGUCCAAAAACAGGAACGGUAACGAGUUCCAACGUUUUUCCCCAUAGUUCGUACAUACAUAUAGCGAUCCCUUUCCGUAGCCGUAGCGCAUCGUCGUUUCGAGGUUGUUCCAUUUGGAACGCUUUGCCGACUGUUUAAGCACGGUAAAAACGUUUUUCGAAUGUCAUUUUUCAUCUUGAGUCGUUCCUUACUUUUCAUGAGUCAUUUUAAUUAAAUUGUAGUGUUCAAUGAAUGCAUAUUUUUGUGUUAUCACCAUUAUUUGAAUAAUCUAAUAAUUUACUCGAAUGUGAACAGCCUACUAAUCAUUCAUGUAUAAAUGUGAGGAGCGAUAGGUGAUAGGUAUCUGUAAUUAUGCUAAUUACAAAGGAAGAUAAACAAGGAUAAAUAUAGCACUUAUCUCAUUAUAAACGAUGUAGGUAUCGGAAUCCUCACUUCACUUAUUUCGUUGCACAUUUCAAUUGCCUUUUUGUAAAAGUUGCAGUAUUUUUUUAAUUUAUCGAAUAAUUAGGUUCUAUCUAAUGAGUAUAUGUAUAACUAUACUCAUAAUAUGUACUGUGUAUAUUUUAUGAUUAAUUUAUACAAUUUAUCGUCGUGUAUAAUUAAUUUAUACUGUCCGUAAAAGUACUUAAUGCGUGAAUGUACUAAUAACACAAUCAGAUUUGUGUAACUUAAAAAAUUAAUAAUUUUAAACAAUUAUUUUGAAUUACCUAUACGAGUAUUAUGAAGUGGAAGUAUUGCUUGCUGACCUUGGUCAAUUAAUCGACCCAAAAUAGAUUACAGCCUUAAAUGAAAAUUGUCAUAAAGGAAUGCAAAUACGAUCUUUCUGUGUAAUUUAACGAUAUUGAACAUAAUUGAACACGUUUCUAUUUGAACUAUUCAAGGUUUGUCACACUUCUACCAUCCGUUUCAAUGAAAAUCGUACUGGCCUGUUAUUGAGCUUUGUUGAACUGUUUCAUCAGCUGGGCAGCUAUUACAAGAUGCUUCGCGAUACAUAAUUAAGAUAACCGAUCAGACAGACAACUUUCAGCAACUAUAAAUGAUCGAAUGAUGAUCAAUGAUGUGCUUUCUCAUACCUGCUACAUUGUUAAACUGAACUGCCAGGAGAUUAUUGAAAUGUUGACAUCAAGAAUAAAAGCGUAUUAAUAAAACAUACUUCGUUACUUGAAUGGAAAAGAAACAAUGUUGCUUUUUAACAAGAUUUUCAAGUUCUAUACAUUAGAUCCUGACAGAUCCUAAAGAUAAAGUUGAAAUAUGAUAAUAUAAUGUCAAUGGUAGUGACGUAGCGAAUUCUCUAAGGCGAAAUUAGACAGUGAAUAUUAAUCAAUUUGGUCAUCAAAAACAUUUCUGACAGCGAGAAGCAACUGUUUCACCAUAACCAUUUUACGAUAAUUUUUUUUAAUACGUAAUAUAGCAAUAAUUACAUUAAACUUCAAUCUUUGUUAUUAUCUUAUGAAUAAAAAUGAAAAGACAACACACUUUGGAAUACAAACUACACUGUCAAAAAUCAAUUCUAAAUGAAACUCACACGCAAAACUUUGGAACAAAAUAAUCGAUAAAAAAUGGUCACGAGCAAGAAAUCAUAGAACAUCUUUAAACUUCAUCAAAAAACAGCAAACUAUUUCAUAGAACAAAGUCCAUCUGGAUUAAUCCAUGAUGGAAGGAACCACAGAAUGAACCUCAUGAAUUGAACACUUUGAUCAAAAGGAUGAAUGGAUCAUCUACUUAGUAUAUUAUUAUAAAUAAUCAAUUGUUAUAUAAACUUACUAAUGUUUAUUAUACAUAUGUAUAAUAUUCUGGAUAAUUAGUAAACAGUUUUCACAGGUAAACAGACUACCAAACUUCAAACACUACGGAGGACGGUGUAAAUGGCACUUGUAAGAGUUGCGGCGAAUCGCAACGCACUGAGUCGGACGAGUGAAUGAAGAACAGUAAGUAUUGCACGGGAGAGAGUAAGCAGAGGCAGCGGAGGAAACUUUCAUACCUGUCUAUCGGGAUUCCCUGGUGUGUGCGUACGCGUCCCACCUUUAUCCGGGGAUUCCUGGCUACGGGUUAAGUCGUCGAUUCACCCCGGGUCACGUGUGUUGCAUUCAUAAAUAGCCUGUUGCACGUUCAGUAUCUAGUUAAUGACCAUGCCAAGAUCAAAGGGGGAAAAUGUUGAUAGGUCAAGAUAAAAACCACCCUGAAUGAGUCCACUUGACUCUUUAUACCGAGUCACUCGUGGCAUAAAUUAUCUAAUGCAAAAUGCAAAUUAUUAUGUACUAUUCUUCUUACGACAAGAAUUUUCUUUCAAGUUUUACAGUCAUACAUACAUAUGCAUAAAAGGGAAAUAUAGGAUAAACAAAAUGCUGCUGACGAUCUGAUAUGACGAGAAGCUGAAGGAAUAACGAAAAAUACCCUUUCUAGUUUUUAUUUUUCUUUUAGGAAAAUGAUAGAAUAUCCUGUUAUCGAUAGAUUUGAAUUUAUUGAAUAAAUUAAUGGACACAAUAUGUGAACUGCUGUCUAAAAAGGUAAUGAUUAUAAUAUCUUGAUAAAAUAACAAUCUCGCUAGUAGAAAGACAAAAAUAGUCCUAUUGAAGUUGUUUUUUUUCUUCUUCAUUGAUUAUAACGUAAUUUUUGAUCCAAACUCCUAAAUGUUGAACUCUAUUCAAGUAAUCUAUAAAUAUGAUGAGGUUCAUUUUUGCUAUGAGCUCUUUGAUUUAAACGUUGUAAGAGUUUUGAAAUCUUCAAAAAUAAAGACUCCCUUAAUAAUAGAAAUAAAAGUUCCAUCGAAAGAGAUGAAAUAUUUUAAUUGCAUUUUAAUGUGGGAAAGUACCGCAAUCUUAUUGACCGUUAUCUUAUUUCGCUGUAUCAACUUACAGUUUUGAAAUCAGUGAUUGAUUAUAUCGCCGCUCAUGUUGUAAAAUUUAUUCUAAUUGCUUAGAAACAAAUCGAUGCAAUAAUCAUACAAAAAUGUCAACAAUUUCUCAUAACUCAUCUAACUUGCGUUCGUUUACAGUUAGAAAAUUCUUUUAUCUAUUAAAUAUUCUAAGAAGUACUAAACUUUGAAUAUUUCGUAUAUAUUUGCAUAUUGUUUGCAGUUUGCGAAUAUUUACAUCUUCAAUUAUGCUAUAAAUGCAUAAACGUUCGCAGUCUCAUUAUUACCUACGUAAUAUCAUUAAAAGCUACAGCUGUGCCAAUGAAUUGCUUAUACGGCAUCAAAUUUGUUUUCAUGUCAUUCGUUCUCUGUUUCCCUUCUAUUGCGUAUCUUCUUUUAUGCUGUUAAUUAUAUAAUCUUCCAAGGUGAAUACCAAUCAGCUGCUGUAGCUUGGUUCUUACCGAUUCGUCCUUCCUCUUCUCGAUAAAUCUUACAUCACACUUAUUUGCGAGAAAAAUCCUAUUUGAUAAGAGCGUACGUGUGGUCGAAGUAAUCGAUUCGUUUCGUGUAUAUUGUUAUAUUCACAGAUUGAAUUAUAAAUAUAUUGAAAAGAAAACUUUGCAAUAUAGGUAAAAGAUAAGGAUUUGUACUGAAUAUUAAGUGGUCAAGUAUUUGUGUAAUUUUUUAAAGGUAACAUUUUUGGAACCCGAACUGACCAACGUAGUAUAAGCCAUAUGUUAACCAAAAAGGGGUGAGUGAACUAGGGGAGAAAGUGCGAUUUCCGAGUUUGUACAGAAAAAAUGUGAGAACAGUAUGCAAAAAAGAAUGUAUAGAUAACUUGGCUCGUGUACAAUUAUUAUUUCAAUAUAUUAAACACAUUUAUACUUUUUCUUUUACAAUUUUACGCUUGAUUAAUCUCAUCAGGUUAUGAGCCUAGAGUACGUGUAAAAGAGAUAGAAAUAAAAGAGAAGACUAAAGAAUUGCCUUAACGGACAAUCGGGAGAGUAAUUACGUAUAACAAAACGAUAAAAGAUCAGAGUUUCAAAAAGAGUAUUUCAAAAUAGAACAUGGAUUCAGCACAGUAUUUUCCUCAGUUGUACACAGAGAAUUUCAAUAACUGGAAAUUCCGAGUUAAAUGCCUGUUGACUGAAAGACAGAUAGAUAAUAUGCUAUGCGUUAAAAUUCCGUCAUUCGCGAGGGAUAAAUAUAGAAGGAGUUUUAUAUUAAAAGACGCGAAAGCCAAGUCAAUAGUGGUGCAGUGUAUUACGGACAAUCAUCUAUAUCUAGUGAAAGAUGCAUCCACUGCAAAAAAAAGAUUUUGCAAAAUAUGUUUGAGAGAAAAAGCACGUUUUCAAAGUUGCAUUUAAAGAGGAAGCUAUUUUCAUUGAAGUAUGGACAAAAUGAAAGAUUUUUUCUCAAAAUUUAACAUCAUCAUAAAGGAGAUGGAAAAUGAGAAAUCCAAAAUAGAUGAAUCCGAUAAAAUUUGUCAUCUACUGUAGAUAAUGCUUGAAGACUAUAAUGCUAUGAUAACUGCUAUCACGACAAUGAAUGAUAAAGAAGACACUUUAAACUUUAUCAAAAGUAGACUGCUUAAUGAGGAGCUAAAAGUGAUGAGCAAGAUGUUGAAUGAUAAAAGCAAUAAUGGCCAGGUAAUGUUCAAAGUCUUUCCAUUUGCUUACUUGGUGAAUGUGGUAGAAUAGGUUACAAAAUAAGUGAAUGUAGAGCAAAAGAGAGACCAAAUACCAGCAGAAAUUUGUAUAGGGGUUGAGGCUCCUUCAGAGAUAGGGGUUAUCGACCAAGGAGAUCAGAGACAGCUAAUCAAUCUAUUAAGGACAAAGCAGUAUAGUCAGUCGCAAUGAGAGUAAAUUUACAGAGUUUAUACUGGAUUCAAUUGCAAUUGCAUAUUUAAUAAAGACAAAUAUGGAAAAAUAUAUAAGCAAUAUAGAAAUGUUACAGGAAGAGAUAAAAAUCCAUAUAGCUAGUGGAAAGAAGAUAAAGGCUACAAAGAAAGGUGACUUUGUUGGAAUGAUUAGAGCAUAACCUUUUGUCACUAAGGAAACUAGUCCAAAUAAUUAUAAGGUGAUAUUUGACAUGGAAGAUGUAGAAAUUGUGGGAAAAAACCAUGUUAUUUUGCAAAAGGGGAAAUAACCUAUAUAUCUUGAAAUUAAGGCCUAAAAAAGAUGAGGUUUGUGUAAGUUUGGAAGCAAGUCAGACCUAAAAAGCUGAACUGUGACACAGAAGAGUAGGCCAUUUGGAUAAAAAAGCUAUGAGAAUUCUAGGACUACUAAUAAACAGUAACAGGUGGUCCACGUGUGUGAAAGGCAAAGCUGCAAGACCCAUUUUUUAUGAAAGAAAGAAACAAUCUCAAAAAAUAGGAGAUUUGAUACACUCCAAUCCACCAGGGUCAGUAACUCCAUGUACUCCAGGUAGACAUAGGUAUUUUCAAGUUGUGAUAGAUGACUACACCUACUUUGCAAUAAUGUAUCUAUUAAACAAAAGGAUGAAGCUGAAGAAAAUUUUUAAAAUUAGAUAGCAGAAAUGAAAACCCAACGAGAAAUAGUAGUAAAAAGUAUAAGACUAGAUAAUGGUAGAGAAUUCACGUCAGGUUCUUUCAAAAACUAUUGCAAAUCACGAGUAAUAAGGAUUCGGUAUAUGUGUCCAUACACACCCCAGCAAAAUAGCAAGUCUAUAAUAGAACUAGGAUCAAGUUCAUCUAGAGGAAGUUAUCAAAGACCCUAUGGGGAGAAGCAAUUAGAUGUUCAGCUUAUAAACUAAAUAGAAGCCUAAUAAAUGUCAAUGAGAAUUUGAUAUAUAAUCGUAUAUAUAUUAUAUGAGAUAUUAAAAGAAUAAUUAAGACUUCUCGUAUCUAAUUAUGAUUUUUCGAGGUACGUAAUGUCACGACUAAUCAGCGAAACAAUCGGAAAAUACUACGUAAUAAAAGAGAUCAUGUCCAUUAUUAUUAUCAGUGUUGACAAAAAACAAUUUACAUUACUACUUAAAUCAAACCUUGUCUAACUCUGAUUUAGUUGUAUAUUAUUACGAAUGAAAAAGUAUAUGACGUGUAAAAUCAUAGAGAUACGAAAAUUCCAAAAAUCAUCUAGAAUAUUUAAAUAAUUGUACUCAUUUAACAAAAAAAAAAAAAAAAAGCAAUUUCCUAUAAUAACUGAUCUAGCAUAGCUUUUAAAAGAAUAUUGCGCAUACGAGAGAAUGAAGCAGUCCGUUUGGAAGUGUAGAACAUCAUUGCGUGUUUAUAAAGACGUCUACAAGAGGAAUUUCCUUAGCGAUUCAAAUCCAGAGAUUCGUCGCGCCGCUGCUCUUUGCAGUUAACUCCGAUUAUCUUUUUCGCAUGCAUAGCUACGCGUGACCUGCAAUUUUGCUAGUUGGGACAAGCAUGGAUCGCUGACACGCAGGAAACGCGAUAUUACUCCGUAUAAAAAAGAAGAGAAUAAGUAAAGGAAAAUGUAUGUGUGGCGUUUCAUCGUAACCAAUUAUCAGACAUGGUCUUCUCUAAUCUCCAUUUUUAUCUCACAACUUGCAGUUGUUUGUAUGUUGAAUCAUGUUUCACAAAAUAAUACCAUUAUUUAUGAACUUUAUCCUUUAACGUUUCCUUGAGAAUAUCAUCGAAUACGAGGAAACAAAGGAAGAAACAGGAAAAUGGUGGAAAAUAAUUCUAAGAAAAUGUUAUCAUUUAUCAUAAUUAUGGAGAAUAAUCGAAUAAUAUUAAUGUAUGGUUAAAUAGAAGGAAACAAAAAUAAAUAAAAAAGAGAUAAGAUAGUAUAUAUACAUAUAGUAACUAUAAGAGAAUGUUCAUUGGAGAAUGAUUCAAUAUGUUUGGUACCAUUCCUAUGGUAAUUUUUCUUUUAUAUCUUUUAUACUUUUUUGUGGAGUAGUAUUAUAAUCGGAAAUAUUAAGGAACACAUUAGACGGCUAUUGUAAAAAAAAUUUUCAUUUUAAAUCUGACUGGUCGCGUAAUAAGGAAAUUAUCAAUGUAUUAUCCGCAAUUAGAAGAUUCUUUGGAGAUUAUUGGUAAUAAGAGGAAUCCGUCUAUUUAAAUUGUUCUUUGCCCACGCGACAGGUCGUUGUUUCACGCGAUGUAUGAGCCAUUCAGAAGCCACGCUGAUCAACUCUAUAAACUUAAAAAUACAGAAAAGCGACUAUACAAGAUAUAUUACGUUACAUUAUAAAAUUCUAGAAUUUUCUGAUCAGUAAACUGUGGAUUUUUAUGCAUUUAUGCAAAAAUGCACAGAAUAUACAUAAUAUGCAAAGAUAUACAUACGGGAAUAUUAAAAAUAUUUCUUGUAAUGUUUUGGUAGGUAAAGCAAAUUUCUGUCUAUCUUUCUCUCCUCAAAUUAUAUUCAGAAAAAUAUGAAUUUGCCUAGAUAUUACAAACACUGGUUUCUAAAUUCACUUUAGAAUAAACUUGUGGAAGUUAAUCAUUUGUUUCUUAAGAAUUGAACAUUAAUUGUGUACUUAUUUAAUGAAAUUAAGAAAUUGUCGAAAACUCGAGUUGAUCGAUUUAUCCUCUGAGAGGUUCAUGUUUGUACAUAACUGGUGGUAAUAAAUGUUUGACGUGGUUGAUGCAUCUUGCAGCAAAUGGUCAGCAAUUUUCUUCCUAGAGGUCAUCGCACAAGGAAGUGAACGGAAACUCGGUCCUCCAGUGGAACUUGAUAGAAAUUGCGUUUAAAAAGGGGACAGAGAAAGCGGAAGACAGAAUUAUUGCGUGAUCUUACCGCAAAUUCUAUCAAUUUAAGUAAAAUGUAAUUUCUGGAACUAUUUUGGUCGAUAUGUAUAUAAGUAACAGGGUUGAAAUAAUUAAAUUGUGAUACACGACAUCUUUUAAUGUUUUUUAACUAAAUUGUAAUGCGAAUGUAAUUAUUAUUAGAGUGCGGAUAUUGAUGGAAAAUCAUACUUUUAUAAAUAUAAUGAAGAAAUGGGAUCUAUUAUAACCGAAAAUCAUUGAAGACAUUAAUUACACAGCAUAAGAACGAAGGAAUACUGAAUUUAAGGUAAAACUACAUAUUAAGUGUAUGAAGUAUUUAAUACAAUAUUGUAUUCAAGUCCAAUGUUUAAUAAAGAACUACCAUUGGAAAUAAAGACAAGAGAGACUGAAAGAAAAAUAA